GGGAAACUGGGGCUAAUCCCCCAUAGGUGAUGGGUGCUGGAAUGCCCCAUCUCCGAAAGCGCUUAGCGCCCGAGGAUGGGUCUGCGGCGGAUUAGGUAGUUGGUGGGGUAACGGCCCACCAAGCCUAAGAUCCGUACGGGCUGUGGGAGCAGGAGCCCGGAGAUGGACCCUGAGACAAGGGUCCAGGCCCUACGGGGCGCAGCAGGCGCGAAACCUCCGCAAUGCGGGAAACCGCGACGGGGUUAGCCGGAGUGCCCGUGCAUUGCACGGGCUGUCGGGGUGCCUAAACAGCACCCCAUAGCAAGGGCCGGGCAAGGCCGGUGGCAGCCGCCGCGGUAAGACCGGCGGCCCGAGUGGCGGCCACUCUUAUUGGGCCUAAAGCGUCCGUAGCCGGCCCAGUAAGUCCCCCGGGAAAUCUGGUCGCUUAACGAUCAGACUUCCGGGGGAUACUGCUGGGCUAGGGACCGGGAGAGGCCGAGGGUAUUCCCGGGGUAGGGGUGAAAUCCUGUAAUCCCGGGAGGACCACCUGUGGCGAAGGCGCUCGGCUGGAACGGGUCCGACGGUGAGGGACGAAGGCCUGGGGAGCGAACCGGAUUAGAUACCCGGGUAGUCCAGGCUGUAAACGAUGCGGGCUAGGUGUCACCGGAGCUACGAGCUCCGGUGGUGCCGGAGGGAAGCCGUUAAGCCCGCCGCCUGGGAAGUACGGCCGCAAGGCUGAAACUCAAAGGAAUUGACGG
rnacentral:rRNA from 1 species